GAUGAACGCUAGCGGCAGGCCUAAUACAUGCAAGUCGAACGAUACCAGAGAGCUUGCUUUCUGGGAAAGUGGCGCACGGGUGCGUAACGCGUAUGCAACCUACCUUAAUCAGGGGGAUAGCCUCUCGAAAGAGAGAUUAACACCGCAUAAAAUCACACUUCGGCAUCGAAGAAUGAUCAAAUAUUUAUAGGAUUAAGAUGGGCAUGCGUGACAUUAGCUAGUUGGUAAGGUAACGGCUUACCAAGGCUACGAUGUCUAGGGAUCGUGAGAGGAUGACCCCCCACACUGGUACUGAGACACGGACCAGACUCCUACGGGAGGCAGCAGUAAGGAAUAUGGUCAAUGGGGGCAACCCUGAACCAGCCAUGCCGCGUGCAGGAAGACGGCCCUACGGGUUGUAAACUGCUUCUAUACGGGAAUAAAUCUCGCUACGUGUAGUGAGUUGAAUGUACUGUAAAAUAAGGAUCGGCUAACUCCGUGCCAGCACGG
rnacentral:rRNA from 1 species